rnacentral:miRNA from 1 species
AUAGUAAAGACUAUGAAAGACUAUAGUCCUGACUAUGAAAGACUACUAUAGCCUUUCAUAGUCAGGACUACAGUCUUUCAUAGUAUU